AGGAGAGGUCAAUUUCACAUCAGUCCAUCCCUGAUGAAAACAGACCAAAAAAGGCAAAGAAUUUGAGUAAACAAAGAUGGGUCAUUGAUCUCAGAUUGAGAGAGAGAGAGAGAGAGAGAGAGAGAGAGAGGUAGACGACCACCACCGACCGACGUCGUACGUACGUACGGUCGGUUACGGGUACGGGUACGGGGUUACGGUAGGUAGGUUAGGUUACGGUAACGUAACGGUACGGGAACGGGAAACGGGAACGGACGGGUACGGGUUACGGGUUCGGGUUCGGUACGGUACGGGAACGGGAACCGGGUACCGGGGACCCGGGUACGGUUACGGGUUACGGGUUCGGUUACGGUAACGGUAACGGUAAGGUUAACGGUUACCGGUACCCGGUUCCCGGUACCGGUACGACGUACGUACGUCGUCGUCGACGUACGUAGACGACUACUACGUACGUACGUAACGUUAACCGUAACCUAACUUAACUUAACUUAACGUAACGUUAACGUUUACGUUUUUACGGUUUUUUUAGGUUUUUUACGGUUUUAACGUUAACGUUAACGUAGUAAGUAGUAGUAGUAGUAGUAGAGUAGUAGUAGUAGAGUAGAGAGAGAGAGAGAGAGAGAGAGAGAGAGAGAGAGAGAGAGGUGAACGCACCCAAGCCCAGCUGUCAGGCUUGGCAGGGUCGUAGAGAGGUUUGACAAUGGCGAAGAAGCGAGCGUUGGUGCUGAGGACGAGGCCGGCAUUGGGUCUGUCAAGGAUUAGGUAGCCUCCGGUC
rnacentral:lncRNA from 1 species